rnacentral:rRNA from 1 species
GAUGAACGCUAGCUACAGGCUUAACACAUGCAAGUCGAGGGCGCGGCGCACGGGUGUGUAACACGUACCCCACCUGCCCUUUCCUCGGGGAUAGCCUUUCGAAAGAACGAAUAAUACCCGAUAUAAAGGAUGCGGAUGCGUUCAAUUAGGUUGUUGGUGAGGUAACGGCGCACCACGCCUUCGAUGGCUAGGGGUUCGGAGAGGAAGGUCCCCCAGAUUGGAACUGAGACACGGGCGAAACUCUUACGGGAGGAAGCAGUGAGGAAUAUUGGGGAAUGGGCGCUAGCCUGAACCAGACAAGUAGAUGGAAGGAUGAAGGCGUAUGGGGCGUAAAUUUCUUUUAUAUAAGAAUAGGUAUUAGAUGAAUAAGGAUCGGCUAACUCCGUGCCAGCAGCCGCGGUAAUAC